rnacentral:rRNA from 1 species
GGUUUUCGGACCUAGAGACCGGCGCACGGGUGCGUAACGCGUAUGCAAUCUACCUUUUACAGAGGGAUAGCCCAGAGAAAUUUGGAUUAAUACCUCAUAGUAUAGUACAACCGCAUGGUUGAACUAUUAAAGUCACAACGGUAAAAGAUGAGCAUGCGUCCCAUUAGCUUGUUGGUAAGGUAACGGCUUACCAAGGCAACGAUGGGUAGGGGUCCUGAGAGGGAGAUCCCCCACACUGGUACUGAGACACGGACCAGACUCCUACGGGAGGCAGCAGUGAGGAAUAUUGGUCAAUGGGCGCAAGCCUGAACCAGCCAUGCCGCGUGCAGGAUGAAGCAUCUAUGGUGUGUAAACUGCUUUUGUACGAGAAGAAACACUCCUACGUGUAGGAGCUUGACGGUAUCGUAAGAAUAAGGACCGGCUAACUCCGUGCCAGCAGCCGCGGUAAUACGGAGGGUCCAAGCGUUAUCCGGAAUCAUUGGGUUUAAAGGGUCCGUAGGCGGUUUUGUAAGUCAGUGGUGAAAGCCCAUCGCUCAACGGUGGAACGGCCAUUGAUACUGCAAGACUUGAAUUAUUAGGAAGUAACUAGAAUAUGUAGUGUAGCGGUGAAAUGCUUAGAGAUUACAUGGAAUACCAAUUGCGAAGGCAGGUUACUACUAAUAUAUUGACGCUGAUGGACGAAAGCGUGGGUAGCGAACAGGAAUAGAUACCCUGGUAGUCCACGCCGUANACGAUGGAUACUAGCUGUUCGGAGCAAUCUGAGUGGCUAAGCGAAAGUGAUAAGUAUCCCACCUGGGGAGUACGUUCGCAAGAAUGAA